GUUCGCUACUGUGUUUAAAAAUAACAAGCUUUUUGAAAGACUGUUAUGAAUUGAAAGUAUAUAAAUUAAGAAACUAAAAAAGUAGAAAAAAAUGGAGGGUCCGUGUGCUUGUUUUCAAGAUAUAAGCCAUUGGAAAUUUGGCGGGAAAUAAUUAUCUCUAGAUUUUUCAUACAUUUAACAUUGGCACCUUUUUUGUUUCAAAAACUAUGAAAAAAUAACAAGGAUUUUAUAAGAUUUUGAAAUAUGGCUUUUUAAACUUUAUGUUUUAAAAUUAUGAACAGAAAAAUAGGGGUUAGUGGGCAAUUCUUUUUAAUGACAAUACAUGGAUAAAACCAGAGGAUUCCGAAAAUCUGUCAAAAUUAAAAAAAUAGAGGAGCAAACGUCUUUAAGCUCUGCCUAUUCACAUAAACAUUAAUUUUUCUUCAACUGUUUAAGCUCCUUGAAUAUUCAUGAUAUUUUAUAAAUCUUACAAUCUAAAUUUUGCAUAAAAUUUGCACUUAUCUUAAUGCAAAAAAAUUACCUGAUUUUAUUUUAUAUCAAUUCUUAGUUCAAAUUAGUUUGCUGCAUUCUUUAACAAUAAAUAAAAAGACAAUAUAAAGGUU
rnacentral:lncRNA from 1 species